AUAUUUUAAUGCUUCAGAUAUCAAUAAUAGUUUCAGAUUUCAGAAAGCCAAAACAUGUGCCACUAUACUUCAGUAUUCUCAAUGAAAGGGAAAGAUCUGUUAGCACACGGGUAAGGUGAUCAACCAGUGAGUUGAAGUAUCUCACUGUAAAGGGGCGGGUUUAUUAUGUACUUAGCUAUGUCUGAUUGCACAUUCAGGGAAGGAGACACAUGAGUUUUUGUAAUCAAGCAGUUUCUCUUUUAUUUUAAAGAUGCAAAUGACUUGCAUUAGUAUGUGGUGGGCAGGCUGUCUAGUAAAGUUAUAUGUUAAUAGCUUUUAUAGAUUAAUUUGCAAAGCUGAUACUAUACGAUUUUGAGCACCAUAGAUUAUGACUAUGGACUAUCUCUUCAGAAAUAAGUCUGCUGUAAUUGCCAAAGUUCAGAUGCCAAACAAAAGGGAAUAUAGCACAUUUCCUUCUCCUUUCAAGGCUGAAAACUUUCAAAGCAACAAUGAGAGGACAGUUCCUGCACAGGCCUCUCUGCAGCUGCUCUAAUGCCCAGAGAGACUAGUACUCAAGCGCAUUAGAAUGGCAACAGAAGUUUCAUAAUUCUGCAGAAACAAAAGAACAGAAAUCCAGCAGCACCAUUGGUGGCCAGCAUUUGUCACUACUUCUUGCUUCACAAUGGCGCUAUCAGGAAGAAGUAGGCCAUUAGCACUACAAUGAGCCAAAAGUUUUGAAAUGGAGGAAUUCAAAGUACAGUACAUCAACUUAGAAUUAUGUUCUACAGAUUAUCAAAAAGACACUUCCAAGUGAGCAUGUUUAUAAUAAAUGAGAAAUGUAACUCCAGUGUAAUUGUCUGCACACUGAUUGUACAUUGACAGAACACACCAAGAUAUCAGGGUACGUGAAAUAAAGCAUACCUAACACAAUCCCAUUCAAAUGCAAUGUAAGAUGGAUAACUAGUAUAGCCUAAGUAAACAUAUAAAUUAACUUGUCUUAGAAUUACUGCACAGUGUUUAUCAAAAAGCAAUGCAACAAUUGACAAGGCUGACAAUUAGAACAAAUCUGUCUAUAUGCAUUUGAAAACUAACCUCCAAU